AUUGAGAUGCCUGAACUAUUCUAUCAAGAAACCUUCAUUUUUACUUCUGUUUUUGCUUUGGUUUGUAAUAAAUAAAUAUAAUCCUCACAACUCUGUCUGAAGUGAGUACAAGUUGACACUAAGGGCCCAAGUGGCCUUUCCAUGAAUAAAACAUAUGGGCAUUUGUAAAUGCACUUGGUGCUACUUGUCUAUGCAUAGUUCCUUUAUGAGUUUCCAAUUUCUAAGAUGUAUUUUAUUUGAAAUACAAAUACGGAAAAAUUACUGAUGAGGCGGUGUAAAGAAACCUUAUCAAGACUGCUCAUUAGUAUGACACAAAAUUCAUAAAGAGCAACAUGCCCAUUUGCUUAGGACUGAGAGUCUAAACUUGUAAGAUAGCAAUUCGAAAGUAUUACCUUGUAAAGAUGAAGGAAGAACUCUGAACCUGGUGUGAAUAAAAUAAUUUAUAUGUCUAAAUCUAUUGGUAACUUUAGAUUAGAUGACAGGGAAAAGAUAAAUGUUAAAGAUAAUCACAGCAGUAUGUAAUAUAAUUUUCAGUAGAGCAUUUUAUUUUUUUCAUAUCAAAAAGGUACUGUGUCUUAUUUCGAUCUCAGGAAUCAAUUAUUUCAGGGAUGCAGUUUUAUGAAAGUUAACAGGUAAAUGUAGUUUCAAGAAAUUGGGGUUGUUGGGAGAGAAUUCAAGAGAUGAAGUAGGGAUUUUGGUCCUGAAAUGCAAGUGUCAGUUUUGUUUGUUUGGGGGUAUACAUGUUUGAUUUUUCUUUUGACUUAAUUAAAAAUAAGGAAAAGAAAAAUGAAUUAGUUACCCCUGAUGUCCUAAAACAGCACACAUAUUGUAUCCUUUAAAUGGUAGUUCACUUUGUUGUUGGUGUCAUUGCGCUUAAAAUGUCAGACCACGUAGAAAAAGACACAAAGUCUGGAAAUUUCUAAAGUGGUCAGUUCCCUCUUUAGAGUAACAAAGUUUGAUCUACAAGAAAGUAGGAGUUAUCUGUCAUAUUUCAACAUUUUUAAUGUUUUCCUGCUAAUAGAAUUUUGACAAGAUACUAAAAAAAAAUAAACCUCAGAACUAAAUGUUAAAUAUUUACCUCUGUGAUAUGCAAUAAUUCAUGUACAUGAACCUGCAAAUUAUUUACUUUUGCUUGACACUUUGUCCAUACUAAGAUAUUUCAGUAUAAAUCUGAUUUCAAGUAAAACUGAGAAGAUGCACUUCAUAUGGUAUUUUAGUUACAAGGAUAAAUAACUCUGGAUUGAUUAUUUUCUUAGUAUAGACAAACCUCUAUUAUAUUAGUUAAUCACAGGCUACCAAAGUAAAAAUUGAUUUUUUAUGUAAACGUUUCAAGCUUUGCUAUUUACAUCUGGAAUAAAAAUAUGCUAAAUGGAUGAAAUCAUUGAAAUAUUUCAUAAAUAUAGGAAGACACAAUUGCAUACUGAAUACUCUUGGAAAGGUGUUUGAUACUAAAGACCAGCUGAGACAUCUGGUAGUGAGGAAAAGACAAUGCCAAGUUUGAGUUACCAUAGCAAAAUCAUAUUACAUAACAGCGUAUUAUUUCUAUAUUUUGAAAUAGAGAGAUGGAGAAAAGUAAAAUUAAAAGAGAGGAUUUAGACAAUAAAAUUUUUAUGAAUAUUUCUAAUGAAGAAUAUAGCUAUUGAUAAGGAUGUGAUGACUCAGAGGAAUCCACUAGUAUGAAGGUUCACAAGCUACCACCUUCCAAUGUCUUAACUUCUCAAUCAUGAAUUUACUUCUUUAAAUGUCUCUUUAGCUUGAUACUCAUUAUUCCUUAUAUCUUAAGACAGUGAGACUGAUAAGCUUUGUGUCUGAGAUCACAAGCUUUCAUCCUUCUGCAGAAAGUUAAUGCACUCCUCAGUUAAUUUGUUAACAGAUAACCAUCCUUUCCUUGAGGGAACAGCCUCCAAGGAAGAAGCUGAGCGCAGCCUUGCAAAGCCAAGCACAGAUAUAGGUAGAUGUUACAUUAUUUAACAUAUAUUACUUCCUUUAUUGUUAUCAUAGCAAUCACAUUGGUUCUAUAUCAUUAUAUCAAUUUUAUAGGUGAGAAAAGAAGUGUGUACAAUAGUAAUUAAUUUUCACAAAGCCAUUAAAAAUACAGAUGAUUAAAUACAAGUGUAUAAUUCCAAAACUCUUUGACAUUCAUAAUAUCAAAACUCAUAUGGUAUAGAGUCUGACACUAAGGUCUUCACUGCAGUUGAACUGAAUGGACAUCCCACAAUGAUUAUGGGAAGCUAGACCUGAUCACAGAUCUGGGAGUAGGCAUCACUGUUGCGAUCAAUAUCUGGGUAUCUUAUUGAGUGUGAGGCUGACCUACUAAAUAUUUAACAAUUAAGGGGUCAAGGUAAGACAUGUAAUACAUAUGGAAACAAUAGGAAAGUUGUCUCAGCUUAAUUCUUUUAGAGAGUCCAGAAAUAUCAACUUUAGAAUAUUGAGGAAAGACCAUGAAUACUACAAUGUGGCUGAGUGUCAACCAUGGUUCAUUUAGGCAGAUGAGUGCUCAGAUCCAUAUUCCACAUUUUCAACCAUUCAGCAUCAACUGAUUAUUAUUAAAUACUAUUAACUUUAGAGGCAUGCCUAGUAGUUUUGAUUAAAAACCCAGCAUUGGUUUCUUGAUUAAAACUAAAGAACUAUAGAACAUAAACCAUCUCUUAAAUGUCGGAAGAAAGCAACAAAUUUUAGUGGGUUUUUUUUAUACUAUAUAGCUUUUUUUGGUAAUUGUCAUGUCUGUUUUUUUCUUUAAUAUUGUAGAUUUAAUAACCACAGAUAUCCCUAACUUAUGUCUGAUAGAAUAUGUUAAGACCCAAAUGGUAAUAACUUUAAAUAGAAUAAUUCCUAAGAGUAACAAAUACCAACUUUAGUUUCUGCUGAUCAGCUACUGUAUUACUGGCACCAAAUAUAUAUAUAUAAAACAGAAUAUUAUGAACAUGCCAAAAAGUUAAACUACCUUUCUCUUAUUUCAGGUAAUACUAUAGAGCUCACAUUUGGACACUGAAAUAAUGACAAAAACCAAAGAUAAACUCAGCAAAAGUGUGCAUAAAUAUGUGAAGUUCAUAUUUAAUUAGAAAUAAAAUAUGAUAAGUGGUCUAUAAAUUAUGACAAAUGAUAUAUAAAAAUGUAUCUUUAAAAUUACUUAUAUCCCUGCAUGCAGGAUUUAAUUUUAAAGAACUCAGGAUAUAACCAUUAAAUAUUAGAGAGUAAAAAUGCUAAAGAUGAAUUAUUAAUAGUAUUUAUAAAUGACAACUAUAAGAAAAUCAACACUAAAUUAUUUCUGACUAUUGAAGAGUUAGUCUCAGGAAGGUAGAAAAAGAGGGAGGGAACCAGCCAGCCCUAGGUGGUGACCCCAAUCACUGAAGCAAAAUUGGCCUCCUGGAUGGUUACUGAAAAAACCAAGGUAACACAAUGGUGUAAUUGCAAAAUUUUCCAAUAUCUGAAUUCCAUAAACUCUCUCAAGUGUUUUAUUGUUUUCUUUCUGUGAAAGAUGGACUGUGGCUUCUAAUGAUUUAUGGCUAAAGGCACAAAGUGGAUAUCUUUGCAAAAUGAGGGAAGAAAUAACUGGAUCUAAAAUGUAGCAUUUCUUAAUAUAUUUGUCAAUUUAAUAGCAUUUGGAAGGAUGGAUCGAGUUGUGUUGGAAAUUAAUCUUUGAACUCAUUUUUGCACCAGAGAUAAGUACUGAGGCUCUGAAGUAAGGCAAAGGUGGGUUCAAAUUCAUUUCCACAUGUCUAAAGUUACGCGACUUUUGGGGGAAGGGUAUUUAAACAUCCUAAACUUCAUGUUU
rnacentral:lncRNA from 1 species